rnacentral:tRNA from 2 species
GGUCCCAUCGUCUAGCCAGGUCAGGACACCAGGUUUUCAUCCUGGGAACAGGGGUUCGAAUCCCCUUGGGAUCA